ACGUUGCUCGGAAUUACUGGGCGUAAAGCGCGUGUAGGUGGGUCGAUAAGUCGGGCGUGAAAUCCCUGGGCUCAACCCGGGAACUGCGCUCGAAACUGCCGAUCUUGAGCGCCGGAGAGGGUGGCGGAAUUCCUGGUGUAGAGGUGAAAUUCGUAGAUAUCAGGAGGAACACCGGUGGCGAAGGCGGCCACCUGGACGGCUACUGACACUGAGACGCGAAAGCGUG
rnacentral:rRNA from 1 species